GUGGGGAAUCUUCCGCAAUGGACGAAAGUCUGACGGAGCGACGCCGCGUGAGUGAAGAAGGCCUUCGGGUCGUAAAGCUCUGUCAUCAGGGACGAAUGGCCGGUGGAGUGGAAAGCCACCGGAUUGACGGUACCUGAGAAGGAAGCCACGGCUAACUACGUGCCAGCAGCCGCGGUAAUACGUAGGUGGCAAGCGUUGUCCGGAAUUAUUGGGCGUAAAGCGCGCGCAGGUGGGAUCUUAAGUCCAUUUUGAAAGUUCGGAGCUCAACUCCGUGAUGGGAUGGAAACUGGGAUUCUUGAGUACCGGAGAGGAAAGCGGAAUUCCCCGUGUAGCGGUGAAAUGCGUAGAUAUGGGGAGGAACACCAGUGGCGAAGGCGGCUUGCUGGAUAGUAACUGACGUUGAGGCUCGAAAGCGUGGGGAGCAAACAGGAUUAGAAACCCGGGUAGUCC
rnacentral:rRNA from 1 species